GACGAGGGCGCGAGCGUUGUCCGGAUUUACUGGGCGUAAAGAGCGUGUAGGCGGCCACGCAGGUCCGUUGUGAAAACUGGAGGCUCAACCUCCAGCUGUCGACGGAAACCGUGUGGCUAGAGUCCGGAAGAGGAGAGUGGAAUUCCUGGUGUAGCGGUGAAAUGCGCAGAUAUCAGGAAGAACACCAAUGGCGAAGGCAGCUCUCUGGGACGGUACUGACGCUGAGACGCGAAAAGCGUGGGGGAGCGAACAGG
rnacentral:rRNA from 1 species